rnacentral:rRNA from 1 species
GGACGAACGCUGGCGGCGUGCCUAACACAUGCAAGUCGAGCGGGGACAUGCGACGGAGGCGAAGUACUCGUACGGAGUCAAAGAUGUAAUGUCUAGCGGCGGACGGGUGAGUAACGCGUGAGCAACCUGUCCCUUACAGGGGGAUAACACAGCGAAAGUUGUACUAAUACCGCAUAAGACCACAGGAUGACAUCGUCCAGGGGUCAAAGGAGCAAUCCGGUAAGGGGUGGGCUCGCGUCCGAUUAGAUAGUUGGUGAGGUAACGGCCCACCAAGUCGACGAUCGGUAGCCGACCUGAGAGGGUGAUCGGCCACAUUGGGACUGAGACACGGCCCAAACUCCUACGGGAGGCAGCAGUGGGGAAUAUUGGGCAAUGGGGGGAAACCCUGACCCAGCAACGCCGCGUGAGGGAAGAAGGUUUUCGGAUCGUAAACCUCUGUCCCAGGUGAAGAGGAAGAGACGGUAGCCUGGGAGGAAGCCCCGGCUAACUACGUGCCAGCCGCAGC